CGAAAGCCUGACGGAGCAACGCCGCGUGAGGGAAGACGGUCUGUGGAUUGUAAACCUCUUUUCUCAGGGAAGAAGAUCUGACGGUACCUGAGGAAUAAGCAUCGGCUAACUCCGUGCCAGCAGCCGCGGUAAGACGGAGGAUGCAAGCGUUAUCCGGAAUUAUUGGGCGUAAAGCGUCCGCAGGUGGCUGUUCAAGUCUGCCGUCAAAGCACAGGGCUUAACUCUGUCAAGGCGGUGGAAACUGAGGAGCUAGAGAGAGGUAGGGGUAGAGGGAAUUCCCAGUGUAGCGGUGAAAUGCGUAGAGAUUGGGAAGAACACCGGUGGCGAAAGCGCUCUGCUGGGCCGCAACUGACACUAAUGGACGAAAGCUAGGGGAGCG
rnacentral:rRNA from 1 species